CAACUUCUGAAUGUUGACCUCGGAUCAGGUA
rnacentral:rRNA from 1 species